GGCCAUCAAUAUAGAUCAAAGCAAUUAUUCUUGAUCGAGGGUGAGUCUAAUAAUGAGAUCGAGGAAACCAUGGAGGAGAUAGAUGAAAAGGCUAUGGAAAAGAUGGCACCUGAAAUCUCUAUACAUGCUAUCUUAGGAUCCUUAUCCCCUCAGACAAUGCGGGUUCAGGGGCUAAUCAAGCAUCAACCAGUCUUUAUUCUUAUUGACUCUGGAAGUAUCCACAAUUUCAUCAACCUUAGGGGUGCAAUCGAGUC
rnacentral:lncRNA from 1 species